AUACAGAGGGUGCGAGCGUUAAUCGGAAUUACUGGGCGUAAAGCGCACGUAGGCGGUUACGUAAGUCGGAUGUGAAAGCCCCGGGCUUAACCUGGGAAUUGCAUUCGAAACUGCGUGGCUAGAGUCUGAUAGAGGGAAGUGGAAUUUCCGGUGUAGCGGUGAAAUGCGUAGAUAUCGGAAGGAACAUCAGUGGCGAAGGCGGCUUCCUGGAUCAAGACUGACGCUCAGGUGCGAAAGCGUGGGGAGCAAACAGGAUUAGAAACCCCAGUAGUCC
rnacentral:rRNA from 1 species